AUUGAACGCUGGCGGCAGGCCUAACACAUGCAAGUCGAACGGUAACAGGAAGAAGCUUGCUUCUUUGCUGACGAGUGGCGGACGGGUGAGUAAUGUCUGGGAAACUGCCUGAUGGAGGGGGAUAACUACUGGAAACGGUAGCUAAUACCGCAUAACGUCGCAAGACCAAAGAGGGGGACCUUCGGGCCUCUUGCCAUCGGAUGUGCCCAGAUGGGAUUAGCUAGUAGGUGGGGUAACGGCUCACCUAGGCGACGAUCCCUAGCUGGUCUGAGAGGAUGACCAGCCACACUGGAACUGAGACACGGUCCAGACUCCUACGGGAGGCAGCAGUGGGGAAUAUUGCACAAUGGGCGCAAGCCUGAUGCAGCCAUGCCGCGUGUAUGAAGAAGGCCUUCGGGUUGUAAAGUAGUUUCAGCGGGGAGGAAGGGAGUAAAGUUAAUACCUGGGCUCAUUGACGUUACCCGCAGAAGAAGCACCGGCUAACUCCGUG
rnacentral:rRNA from 1 species